UACGUAGGGUGCAAGCGUUAAUCGGAAUUACUGGGCGUAAAGCGUGCGCAGGCGGUUUUGUAAGUCUGUCGUGAAAGCCCCGGGCUUAACCUGGGAAUUGCGAUGGAGACUGCAAGGCUCGAAUCUGGCAGAGGGGGGUAGAAUUCCACGUGUAGCAGUGAAAUGCGUAGAGAUGUGGAGGAAUACCGAUGGCGAAGGCAGCCCCCUGGGAUAACACUGACGCUCAUGCACGAAAGCGUGGGGAGCAAACAGG
rnacentral:rRNA from 1 species